rnacentral:rRNA from 1 species
ACGAACGCUGGCGGCGUGCUUAACACCUGCAAGUCGAACGGAAAGGCCCUGCUUUUGUGGGGUGCUCGAGUGGCGAACGGGUGAGUAACACGUGAGUAACCUGCCCUUGACUUUGGGAUAACUUCAGGAAACUGGGGCUAAUACCGGAUAGGAGCUCCUGCUGCAUGGUGGGGGUUGGAAAGUUUCGGCGGUUGGGGAUGGACUCGCGGCUUAUCCGCUUGUUGGUGGGGUAGUGGCUUACCAAGGCUUUGACGGGUAGCCGGCCUGAGAGGGUGACCGGCCACAUUGGGACUGAGAUACGGCCCAGACUCCUACGGGAGGCAGCAGUGGGGAAUAUUGCACAAUGGGCGGAAGCCUGAUGCAGCAACGCCGCGUGCGGGAUGACGGCCUUCGGGUUGUAAACCGCUUUCGCCUGUGACGAAGCGUGAGUGACGGUAAUGGGUAAAGAAGCACCGGCUAACUACGUG